GACGAACGCUGGCGGCAUGCCUAACACAUGCAAGUCGAGCGAGCUGAUCCCUUCGGGGUGAAGCUAGCGGCGGACGGGCGAGUAACACGUGGGCAACCUGCCUCAUAGAGGGGAAUAGCCUUCCGAAAGGAAGAUUAAUACCGCAUAAGAUUGUAGCUUCGCAUGAAGCAGCAAUUAAAGGAGCAAUCCGCUAUGAGAUGGGCCCGCGGCGCAUUAGCUAGUUGGUGAGGUAACGGCUCACCAAGGCGACGAUGCGUAGCCGACCUGAGAGGGUGAUCGGCCACAUUGGGACUGAGACACGGCCCAGACUCCUACGGGAGGCAGCAGUGGGGAAUAUUGCACAAUGGGGGAAACCCUGAUGCAGCAAUGCCGCGUGAGUGAUGACGGCCUUCGGGUUGUAAAGCUCUGUCUUCGGGGACGAUAAUGACGGUACCCGAGGAGGAAGCCACGGCUAACUACGUGCCAGCAGCCGCAGUAA
rnacentral:rRNA from 1 species